CAGUGCGAGAACAAUCGCAAUUAAUUCAGCCCUAUAGGAGGACGUGAAAUUCGAUAGUCUUUUGCCUUGGUAACAGGAAAAAUAAGAAAACCAUACUGCACAAUCAUCAGCAUAUAUGGAUAAUGUCACUUCAGGAUCAAUUGGAAUAUCUCUCAUCAUGACAUUAUAUAGAAGGGGACUCAGAACACUCCCCUGGGGGAGUCCGUUAUGGAUUUGAAAUGUUCUGGAUUCAGUAUUUGUAACUCUUACCUGAAAG